rnacentral:lncRNA from 1 species
AGGCAAGCUGGGAGCCAAAGGAGGCGCUUUGGCAAUUUGAAAAUCAGAUACGGGCCUUCCACGAAGAGUCGACGAGGGCGUCGACGCAAUAGGUGGGGGAGGGUGUCACGCCCCUCCAUUUUCUAAGAGGUUAUGCCAUGCGGACGAUGACUGGGCGACAUGCAGGCAACGAUUUGGCGCACGUAUGGUCCAUUUUUUAAGAGGUUAUGUCAUGCGGGCGAUGACUGGGCGACAAGCAGGCAAUGAUUUGG